rnacentral:rRNA from 1 species
GGGUAACUGCGGAAGGAUCAUUACCGAGUGCGGGCCCUCUGGGUCCAACCUCCCAUCCGUGUCUAUCUGUACCCUGUUGCUUCGGCGUGGCCACGGCCCGCCGGAGACUAACAUUUGAACGCUGUCUGAAGUUUGCAGUCUGAGUUUUUAGUUAAACAAUCGUUAAAACUUUCAACAACGGAUCUCUUGGUUCCGGCAUCGAUGAAGAACGCAGCGAAAUGCGAUAAUUAAUGUGAAUUGCAGAAUUCAGUGAAUCAUCGAGUCUUUGAACGCACAUUGCGCCCCCUGGUAUUCCGGGGGGCAUGCCUGUCCGAGCGUCAUUGCUGCCCUCAAGCACGGCUUGUGUGUUGGGCUUCCGUCCCUGGCAACGGGGACGGGCCCAAAAGGCAGUGGCGGCACCAUGUCUGGUCCUCGAGCGUAUGGGGCUUUGUCACCCGCUCCCGUAGGUCCAGCUGGCAGCUAGCCUCGCAACCAAUCUUUUUAACCAGGUGACCUCGGAUCAGGUAGGUGCCGUAA